AGUAUUCGACGCGGAGGGACAUUA
rnacentral:rRNA from 1 species